rnacentral:lncRNA from 1 species
AGAUGAUUUUGGAGCACUACUAGUUUAGGUUGGAUAGCCGAAUCAUGGGAUUGAAAUGUUUGGAAAUCGGCUAUUGAAACUUCCUUUCCUCGUCUGGGAGAUGAUUCCUUCUCUAUCUCUAGGAUUUUUUUAUGAAGACUAGUGCAAGAAGGAUGUCCACGAAUGAAGACAUACCUUGCUUUACUAACAGAUAAAGAGAGAAAAACUCUACCAAAGGUUAUAUGAUUAAGACCAAUGUGAAAAUAUUGAGGAAAAACACGGUCUUGUAGGGCUAGGUCUAAACCAGAAUUUAUAGAAAGAUUCCCUAGGUGUAGCUAAAAGUUCAUUAUCUUCUUGAUUAAAAGAUAGGACCUCAGCUAUAGAAAAGGGUUUGUUUUGACCUAUUGCAAUCAACUCCGGACACAGAUUAUAACUAGGGGCAAAGAAAGGACUUGUUGACUCCCAUGGUCUAUGGCUGGUCUCCGAAGGUGCAAAAAAUUCAAUAAUAGGUAUGGACUUUGAGUUAUCCAUAA